rnacentral:rRNA from 1 species
UACAGAGGAGGCAAGCGUUGUUCGGAAUCAUUGGGCGUAAAGGGCGCGUAGGUGGUUCUGUAUGUCUACCGUGAAAGCGUACGGCUCAACCGUAUUUUGUCGGUAGAAACUGCAGGACUUGAGGCUGGGAGGGGCUGGUGGAAUUCCCUGUGUAGCGGUGAAAUGCGUAGAGAUGGGGGAGAACACUCGUGGCGAAGGCGGCCAGCUAGACCAGUUCUGACACUGAGGCGCGACAGCGUGGGGAGCAAACAGG